UAGGGAAUCUUCGGCAAUGGACGAAAGUCUGACCGAGCAACGCCGCGUGAGUGAAGAAGGUUUUCGGAUCGUAAAACUCUGUUGUUAGAGAAGAACAAGGACGUUAGUAACUGAACGUCCCCUGACGGUAUCUAACCAGAAAGCCACGGCUAACUACGUGCCAGCAGCCGCGGUAAUACGUAGGUGGCAAGCGUUGUCCGGAUUUAUUGGGCGUAAAGCGAGCGCAGGCGGUUUCUUAAGUCUGAUGUGAAAGCCCCCGGCUCAACCGGGGAGGGUCAUUGGAAACUGGGAGACUUGAGUGCAGAAGAGGAGAGUGGCAUUCCAUGUGUAGCGGUGAAAUGCGUAGAUAUAUGGAGGAACACCAGUGGCGAAGGCGGCUCUCUGGUCUGUAACUGACGCUGAGGCUCGAAAGCGUGGGGAGCAAACAGG
rnacentral:rRNA from 1 species